CUUAGCCGGCUGGGUGGCCUAGUGUGGCCAUCCCAAAACCCUGUCGCCUGAGGACCGGGGCCACUCUCCUCUUUGAUAGCUGACAGUGUGAGUGGUGCUGGGUCAGGGACGGGGGUAGGGCCAGGAGUCACCCCGGUCACUGCUAACUAGCUAGGGGGGCUCCUUCUCAGCAACACUCCUGGCCUCGAGUUGGUUUCAUGAGGCUUCCGAGGCUGGGGGACCUGCUGGUGGCAUCCCACAGAUGUGCUUGGCCACACACUGGGCAAAGCCUACAGCCAGCACCCCCACCCCGACCCUCUUCCCAUCCCACAGAGGCUGUGCCAUAAUCAGCCCAUCUUUGAAAAUGGGAACAGGUCCAUGGUGACAAUCUCCACGCCCACGGAGGGCUAGGAGGGGUCUGGGGUCCCACAGAAGCUGCAGGUGAUAGAUAGCAAGGGGAGGUCGGCGCAGGCCCGCUGCUCCUGCCUCUCGGACAGAGCCUGCAGGAAGCGCUGUGCUGCAUGCUGUCCUGACCCUUAGGAGGCUGCGCUGAGGCCACAGAGCCCGUCAUCGGGGUGGCUGGGGCGCCCUCUCCACCUCUCCCACCAGCAGCCUGGGCCAAAAUAAAAGCCCCCACCCUGGGGCCCAGCGUGUCCUGAUAGCCACUCUAAUAACCCUGGGUCCCCCUGCCUGCCACCCACGGAGAUGCCCCCCUGCAGGCUGGUUAGGAAAUCCCAUGUGGCCCACCCUCACCUGCCACACUGGGCUGGGACCACCCCAAUGCCCUCACCUGCCGCCCUGGGGUGAUGAUCGUUCCUCUGCCGAAUUUUCCAGGGGAUGAGAAGAUCAUUGAAUAAGUCUGUUUCUAUACACAAAUGCAACUUGUUUAUUUUGACCCCAGUUCUUCGAAAUUGUCGACUCCACAAUUGAAAUAUGCUGUGUGUUCCAACAAGUACCCAGCAGCCGUAAUGACAGACCAGCCCAUCUGUGCUGCGAGAAUGUAUAAUUUCAGUCUAUAGUGGAAUUUAUAUAGAAGCGAUGAUGUGAAAAGUGCUUUGCGUGGUACUUUCUUCAAAAAAAAAAAAAAAAAAAACAAAACUGCCGAGAAGCACUGGGAGCCAUGGAGAAUGCUGAGAUUUUGGCCUGAUUUUUUUAAAGAGCAGAAUCCACAGCAUUUUACUGAUUUUGAGGUGGGGGGAGGGGUGAAGUGUUAACCAAGCGAAAAAACUAAGAUGAUAGUUG
rnacentral:lncRNA from 1 species